AGUGUUCAUAAAUUGUAGCCGAAAAAAUUAGGAAAAACAAAAUCCUGUGAAGUCAUUAAGAACAACAUGCAUGAUUUCCUCGCCCUACCACUCUUUGAUUGGUCAACAUCAUCAUAUGCUUGUAGCUGUAGGCAGCGGGGGACUCGAGAGUUUCUAAAAUUAAAUUUAAAACAAAUAAAAUUUAAACUUAAUAUUCUCAUUCAGGACUUCACAAAC
rnacentral:lncRNA from 1 species